CAGGGCACCAGGAAAACCUCAUUCUGCAACAAAUACACCUUGGGAGAGAUCAUCACGUAUCCUGCCUUUUAGCUACAGGAGAAAAGCAGUUUUAUUGAUGGUACAUUACUCUGAAUUUCAGUGGCGUCACCUGCACUGGAGCUGUACUUGGACUCCCACUGCCACUUUUGGUGAGGGAAUUUCUGCCACCUCCUCCAGCCCCCUGUGAAGACCCCACACACCCACCUUCCACAAAGGAAUAUAAAUCUCCAGAAACACAGCUUGAAAGAAAUUAGGAGUCACUACUGCCCACUCAUGCAUGGAAUGAAGCACAUCUCCUGCAGAAAAGUAAAAAACCAAAAAAAAGGAGGAAAAAGAAGACCAUGCAGAGUGUCAAAAUCAGUGCAUAAUUAAGUGCUGAAGAGCAGAAGCCAGGGUUUCUUAUUUACUACUGCAUGACUACAACAGAGCAAAACACCUGCACUAUUUCACUUAACAAAGCAGAAUGGAAAGAAAAAAAGUCUCCUGAGGCUUCUAAGCUUUUACAGAUACUUCAUGGGUACGUAUACCUGCACACAAAGACUCACAGAUCUGUGUAAAUGAUGUUGGGAGUAUACUGAAAACGCAACAGAAAACUGUGUAACGUGCAGUCCGAACUCAUCUUCUGCAGAUGUGAAUGCAAAUCCUGUGACAUGACAGAAAAAUCAGGUUUUCAUCUUUCACAUUCAGCAUACACUAAGGAUGUAGCAUACAGCAGGGUACAGAUCUGGCAGGAGACUGAGCAACAUGAGGUAACGCAGUGGAGUAAGGGAAACAACUGCACUGUGAUGUCUUAUUUUCACAAAUCCUUUUGAAUACUACGUUUGUCAAUCAAUACGCUGGCAGCAGAAACAUGGAUAUGAGCAUACUGCAGUUUAGCUACGGCUCCAAAUGCCAUAUGGUUCUCAAUGCGUUUCGCAAUAGAAACCAUCACUCCAGUUGUCUGAUCCUGCUUCAAACAGGAAUGUGCAUUUUAUUUACCAAUAAACGCACAUGUAUUUAUUCACUAGAUCUGUGCCUCUUAGGACAUGCCACAUUGGUAAGCAGGCAAUGCUUUUGUUCCAGCAACCUCAGUCAGUUUAUCAAAAUGCAGAUAACUGAAAAGAAAAGUGGAAGAAAUAUAGGAUUGUUUUUUGAAGACGAAAACUGACUGAUACUUAUUGGCAACAUUUGAACUUACCAAAACAUUUAGUAAUGGUUGUUUUUCUCCACGGAACAGCAAUUAAGAGAGCCCUCUCAUCUAUUAACAGCAUGUUACAGGCAGCUUGUUUUGCAUAAAGGUUGCACGUUAACAUAACUAAUAAUUACACCAAUUCAGCAAACAUUCAAGUUAGUACACAUCAGAACAUUUCCAGCAAUGCAGUGUUGUGUUAUUAACUGACAAAACAAUUUGACAUCUGUUGCUUCCUAUAGAUCACGGGAGCCUUUUAACUGCAAAUGAAAUGAUGCUUCCACUGCCAACAGAGGAAAAUACAGAAGGCAUUUAUCCAAAGGAAAGUGAAAAUAAGGAUACUGCUUGGUAGUAGUAAUAGACAAAGUAAUGGGAUGAUGUGUCUGUUUCCUUCUGCCAAGUCUCUGAUCUUAUGUAAAGCAAAUUCCUAGUACGACCAUAUGCAUCACUUUUGCAUUUUAAGAUAUUUGGUGAACAGAUUUAUAAAAAUAUCAACCCCAAUACCGCUAAUUAAUAAGGUCCUUUGCACGAAGACAGCUACUAUAGGGCCAAAAAAAAGUUAUUAAACCUCCUCUUGAAAGCUGAGUACUGGAGAAAGGCUGCAGGGGUUGGAGCGGCAGCUGCAAUGAGCCCAGGGAGCUGCGGCUGUCCCACAGCAGUGCCACAUGGGCAUGGGACCCUGGGAGCUGCUCACCUACUUGGAGAGUGGGAUGGAUGCCCUACUCGUUAAAUAUUGCUAAGAAACAUUAUGAGUUCUGACAGACCCAUUUCCCCAGGUUCAGAUAUGCACUGGCAUUGACCCCACGCUGUCAGGUACCAUUCAGCAGGACCACUGUGUGUGUUUGAAGUGAGGCAGUUUCUCCACUACUGCUUUUGUUAUGCAGACAGCUGCCCGUUAACAGUGCGAUUAAAGAGAGGCACAAAAGAUGUGCAGAAGGCGGAUCUAUCAACAGGGCUGAACGUAACCUCCCGCACCGGGCUGAGUCUCCACUCCCAACUCAGCAGUGAGGCCCACUGGCCGGGCAGGGUGCCGCGUCUCCCCCCGGCCCGCGGCGCGGUUAGGCUCUGUAAGCCCACUACCAGCGCGGGGUCGGCCGCCGUUCCGCCCUGACCCGACCGAGG
ensembl:lncRNA